CCGUAGCCCAAGAGAUCGGGAUAACACCUGGAAACAGAUGCUAAUACCGGAUAANAACAGAUGAUGCCUAUCAACUGUUUAAAAGAUGGUUCUGCUAUCACUCUUGGAUGGACCUGCGGUGCAUUAGCUAGUUGGUAGGGUAACGGCCUACCAAGGCGAUGAUGCAUAGCCGAGUUGAGAGACUGAUCGGCCACAUUGGGACUGAGACACGGCCCAAACUCCUACGGGAGGCAGCAGGC
rnacentral:rRNA from 1 species